AAUAUCUAUUCUACACAGCCCUACUCCUAUCUGUACAGCAUCCUCGCAAACAUACAAUUGAUUCCUAUCUAAAAACUAUUUAACAAAACUUUACAAAGUUAUUAUUUCCUCUGGCCCACUUAAUUGAUCAUUUGCUGCAUUAUCUAAUGUCGGUUCUACAGAUUUUGGUUCUAAAUUCAAAUCUUUCUCCUCCUCCAAUCCAUCCGUCGAUUCCUUCCUCAAAUGGUUUGAAAGAUCUUCAUUAUAUCCUCCCAAUUCACGGACUUGAGCCUCUAGUUUUAAGAUCUGGACAUUACGGAGUUCCAAUUGAUGUUGCUACUGACUCAUCCAUUCUAGAACAUCUUCAAUUGAUGCUUGUGACCGGCUCUUCACUGUUAACUCUUAAAUAGAACUACUACUCUUGAAUACAUAAGAAAUACAAGAAAUGGCAAUCUCAAAAAAAACAAUCCAAAACGACACCACAGAAUGACCUCUAACUGGUGCCCCACUCCUAUUCUCUUAUUACUUGGUGAUAAUGACGACAUGUUAUCCAUACUGUCUAUUUCUCACCUC
rnacentral:lncRNA from 1 species